UACUAGAGUAGCACUCGCAUAUCAAUAAGCGGAGGAAAAGAAACUAACAAGGAUUCCCCUAGUAACGGCGAGUGAAGCGGGAAGAGCUCAAAUUUGAAUCUUAAAGGGUUUCCCUCUACGAAUUGUAGUUUAAAGAAGUGUUUUCUGUUGAGGUUUUGGUAAAAGUUCUUUGGAAUAGGACAUCAUAGAGGGUGAGAAUCCCGUAUUUGACCUUUACUUUCAACUUUGUGAUACACUUUCAAAGAGUCGGAUUGUUUGGGAAUGCAGUCCAAAAUGGGUGGUAAAUUUCAUCUAAAGCUAAAUAUUGGCGAGAGACCGAUAGCGAACAAGUACCGUGAGGGAAAGAUGAAAAGAACUUUGAAAAGAGAGUUAAACAGUACGUGAAAUUGUCAAAAGGGAAGCGUUUGACACCAGUGUUGUUUUUCUGAAAAUCAAUUAAAGAACUGUUUAUGCUAAGCUGUUUAGACUUUAUCAGCUAUCUGUUUAGUUUUGAGCUUUUCUUUAAUGCACUUUUCAGUUAACAAGUCAACAUCAAUUUCUUUUGCUGUAAAAAAGCUUGAGGAAGGUGGCUUGAGAUUCGUCUUAAGUGUUUAUAGCCUCUUGCCUAUGCAGUCGGAGAGAUUGAGGUCUGCAGCGUAGAUCCUUCGGGGCUAAAUGCAUUUGUGCUAAGUUAUAGCAUUUCAUAGACAACUUGUUGACUAUGAUUUGUCUUGUAGCUUACUCGCUUAUGUUAUUUUACCUACGCUUAGGAUGUUGAACUACUGAGACAUAGA
rnacentral:rRNA from 1 species